GUUCCCAUCAUAUAAAAGAGCAAGCCUAGGAAGAGGUCUGGUACCUCCAGAAUAAUGUUAGCUUUUCUAAAUGGAUGAAGGUAAAUAAAUACAUUCUCAGUCCCGUUCAUUAGAAGGAUGAGAUUAAAAGAAAAUCACCAAACACCCAUGUCAACAACACUAAUCAGAACUAACCAAAAUAAAUAAUUGUUAUUGGUGGUGAAUGAAACUAAAAUGGCCUGGCAGCUUCUUCCAUCAACUUUUUUGAUCUCAUCAAUCUCUCUACCUCCUUCAGAGUCUCCAAAACCAUAUCUUCUGUGGUCACUGCGUCCAGUGUAUCAUAGCCUAGCCGAGAAGCAGUAUUCUGUAGUGCAAUAGUUGUAUCAGCUGUAGCAUAUCCAUUACGGCUAUCUUCAUAAAUAGCAGUUAAUUGAGUCAACACCUCGGAAUAUGAUCCAUUUAUUGCUUCAGCAGCAGGAAGUUGAAAUUUCUCCUCCACAAUCUGCUUGGCUACCAUAUCCAAGGGGACAUCGAUCCAUAUUGAUAUGCCGUGUCUCAUAAGCGCCAGAUUUGCUGCACACUGAACUGCACCAUUCCCAGCACAAACAACAAGGCGACCCAUGGAUGACAACUGCUUCAGUACCUCCGUCUCCGAAUCACGAAAUCCCUUCAAGUCUGUCUUCAUAAACGACCGGACAGCAUCCUUUCCUCCCAAAGCUUGUUCAACAACACUAUCGCUGUCAAAAUAAUAAUAGCGCAGUGCGUCUGCAAGAAGUUGAGCGGAGUUAGAUUUGAUGGAGCUGUUUAUUCCAACAAGGAAUAAACAAGUUCCUUUCAAGUCUGGGGAUAUCUCUGCUGCUUUCCUCUUGAGGGUUAACGAAAUGGUGAAAUCAUGGUUAUGCUUGGAAACUGCUCUGGGCGGCUUCAGAUGAUGGCAAAAAGUAGGGACGACGAAUGGCUGAGCCAAUUGGACCACCUUCAUUUUCCU
rnacentral:misc_RNA from 1 species